CCUACGGGUGGCAGCAGUGGGGAAUAUUGCACAAUGGGGGAAACCCUGAUGCAGCGACGCCGCGUGAGCGAAGAAGUAUUUCGGUAUGUAAAGCUCUAUCAGCAGGGAAGAUGAUGACGGUACCUGACUAAGAAGCCCCGGCUAACUACGUGCCAGCAGCCGCGGUAAUACGUAGGGGGCAAGCGUUAUCCGGAUUUACUGGGUGUAAAGGGAGCGUAGACGGCGAAGCAAGUCUGGUGUGAAAACCCGGGGCUCAACCCCGGGCCUGCAUUGGAAACUGUUUUGCUCGAGUGCCGGAGAGGUAAGCGGAAUUCCUAGUGUAGCGGUGAAAUGCGUAGAUAUUAGGAGGAACACCAGUGGCGAAGGCGGCUUACUGGACGGUAACUGACGUUGAGGCUCGAAAGCGUGGGGAGCAAACAGGAUUAGAUACCCCAGUAGUC
rnacentral:rRNA from 1 species